UACGUAGGCAGCAAGCGUUGUUCGGAGUUACUGGGCGUAAAGGGUGCGUAGGCGGCUUUUUAAGUUUGGUGUGAAAUCUCCCGGCUCAACUGGGAGGGUGCGCCGAAUACUGAGAGGCUAGAGUGCGGGAGAGGAAAGUGGAAUUCCUGGUGUAGCGGUGAAAUGCGUAGAUAUCAGGAGGAACACCGGUGGUGUAAACGCUUUCUGGACCGUAACUGACGCUGAGGCACGAAAGCGUGGGUAGCAAACAGG
rnacentral:rRNA from 1 species